GACGAACGCUGGCGGCGUGCCUAAUACAUGCAAGUCGAACGCACAGUUUAUGCCGUAGCUUGCUACACCAUAAACUGUGAGUUGCGAACGGGUGAGUAACGCGUAGGUAACCUGCCUGGUAGCGGGGGAUAACUAUUGGAAACGAUAGCUAAUACCGCAUAAUAUUGAUUAUUGCAUGAUAAUUGAUUGAAAGAUGCUAUUGCAUCACUACCAGAUGGACCUGCGUUGUAUUAGCUAGUAGGUGAGGUAACGGCUCACCUAGGCGACGAUACAUAGCCGACCUGAGAGGGUGAUCGGCCACACUGGGACGGAGACACGGCCCAGACUCCUACGGGAGGCAGCAGUAGGGAAUCUUCGGCAAUGGACGAAAGUCUGACCGAGCAACGCCGCGGGAGUGAAGAAGGUUUUCGGAUCGUAAAGCUCUGUUGUAAGAGAAGAACGGGUGUGAGAGUGGAAAGUUCACACUGUGACGGUAUCUUACCAGAAAGGGACGGCUAACUACGUG
rnacentral:rRNA from 1 species